AUUGAACGCUGGCGGCAGGCCUAACACAUGCAAGUCGAGCGGAUGAAGGGAGCUUGCUCCUGGAUUCAGCGGCGGACGGGUGAGUAAUGCCUAGGAAUCUGCCUGGUAGUGGGGGAUAACGUCCGGAAACGGGCGCUAAUACCGCAUACGUCCUGAGGGAGAAAGUGGGGGAUCUUCGGACCUCACGCUAUCAGAUGAGCCUAGGUCGGAUUAGCUAGUUGGUGGGGUAAAGGCCUACCAAGGCGACGAUCCGUAACUGGUCUGAGAGGAUGACCAGUCACACUGGAACUGAGACACGGUCCAGACUCCUACGAGAGGCAGCAGUGGGGAAUAUUGGACAAUGGGCGAAAGCCUGAUCCAGCCAUGCCGCGUGUGUGAAGAAGGUCUUCGGAUUGUAAAGCACUUUAAGUUGGGAGGAAGGGCAGUAAGUUAAUACCUUGCUGUUUUGACGUUACCAACAGAAUAAGCACCGGCUAACUUCGUG
rnacentral:rRNA from 1 species